UACGUAGGGUGCAGGCGUUAAUCGGAAUUACUGGGCGUAAAGCGUGCGCAGGCGGCUCCUUAAGUCAGAUGUGAAAUCCCCGGGCUUAACCUGGGAACUGCGUUUGAAACUGAGGGGCUAGAGUGUGGAAGAGGGGGUGGAAUUCCAGGUGUAGCAGUGAAAUGCGUAGAGAUCUGGAGGAACACCGAUGGCGAAGGCAGCCCCCUGGGCCAACACUGACGCUCAUGCACGAAAGCGUGGGGAGCAAACAGG
rnacentral:rRNA from 1 species